UCGUGACCUGGUAACAGUGUGAAAUUGUCGGAAACUUCGUUAAAGUUUUACAAGAUUCAAAAAUAGUUUCUCAUAUAAUGAACGAUAUAAUAUUUGUGCCAAUUGUUACUCAAUAUUGUGACCUAUUGCCCCUUCCUCCACCAGAUCCGUGUCUCCACCGGUCAAUUUAUCUGAUCUAUCAGUACUCAUCAAUUACUAUGAGACCUUGUUCGUGACUCGGGAAUAGUGUGAAAUUCUCAGGAACUUCAGUAAAGUUUACCAGAUUCGCCUUCAUGUACUCAAAUUCAGUGUGACUUUAUCAAAACCUUCUUCAAAAUCUUCUUAGAAUAAACAAU